rnacentral:lncRNA from 1 species
UCAGGACUCAGAGCUUUUAUCCAGCCUUGAGCUAUUCUUGCUCUGCGUGGGGGAGGGAGGGCUGUAGGCUGCUUCGUCUUCCGAGUAAGGAUGUGAAAAUGAAGAGGAGCCUGGUCUGAGGCUGAGGGGGGAGACAGCAGAUGAGUGCGUGGCCCAGGAGCCAGAGGAAAAGGAGCUGAAGAAAGAGCCUGGUGUCACAGAAAAUAGAACAUUAACGAUGUCUGCUGUGUUGUAUCUCCAAGCAGGAAAACAAGGCUCUGUGGGGGACAGGGCAGUGAAAAGGACCUUUUGCAGAGAUUACUCAUAAGAAACAAGGCUAAGUCUCCCCAGAGGAAAACUACAAGGGUCCUACCGCCGGGGUAGUGACGAGCACAUGCACGAGUGAGUCUGGUUGCUCUCAUCUUUGAAUUCUCUGCUGAAAUAGCACGUCCUCACAGGGAACUUGCCCAACCACCCUCUUCAAAGCAGAAGCCCCAGGUUCAUUUCUGACCUAGCAUUCCAUUUAUUUUCUUCAGAACAUGUGCUAUAAUAUGUAAAUAGCUUCUUUAUUGUUCACUGUUAAAUUUUUCUAUCUAGAAUGAAAUGUGUUUAUUGCAGGAAAAUGGAAUCUUGUAAGAACGGUUUGUCCAGAUCACUUCGGGAUCCCCAGCACCUGGCACGUGGUGGCACCCACUAGCUUCUCAAUGAAAGCUUGUUCAAUAAAUGAAUGACCCCCACUAUUGGUGAGAGUGUCUGAAUUUAGACACCGUUUAA